rnacentral:rRNA from 1 species
CAUGUAGGCGGAUUAAUAAGUUUGAAGUGAAAUCCUAUAGCUUAACUAUAGAACUGCUUUGAAAACUGUUAAUCUAGAAUGUGGGAGAGGUAGAUGGAAUUUCUGGUGUAGGGGCAAAAUCCGUAGAGAUCAGAAGGAAUACCGAUUGCGAAGGCGAUCUACUGGAACAUUAUUGACGCUGAGAUGCGAAAGCGUGGGGAGCAAACA